rnacentral:lncRNA from 1 species
CCUUACCAAUAAAAAAAGAUAUUUUGGCAAAAGUUAGUCAGGAAGAUUUGGCCCGAAAUAAAAGAAGCAAAGAGAUUUGAUAGGGAGAGAGUAUGAGAAUUCGGCCUAACAGAGAAAGGAAAAAUGAAAUUGGAAAAGAAGUAGAGAUGAAAGUAAAAGAGAGGGUCGGCUAUAGCAGAAAUGAUUAAAGAAGAGAUGAGUAGGAAGUUUCAAGCAGAGAAGAAACAAUAUUCGGUUUCUUUUGGAGAAAAGAAUCAAAACUAAAGCUGAAAAGGAGAGGCCAAAUGGCAAAAUACAGAAGAGCCAGCCAGGAAAACCACU